rnacentral:rRNA from 1 species
AAGGGUGCGUAGGCGGUUUAUUAAGUCAGUGGUGAAAGACGGUCGCUCAACGAUUGCAGUGCCAUUGAUACUGGUAGACUUGAGUGAGAUUGAGGUAGCUGGAAUGGAUAGUGUAGCGGUGAAAUGCAUAGAUAUUAUCCAGAACACCAAUUGCGUAGGCAAGUUACUAAGUCUCAACUGACGCUGAGGCACGAAAGUGUGGGUAUCAAACAGGAUUAGAUACCCCUAGU